rnacentral:rRNA from 1 species
AGCAGUAGCCACGGGAAUACGGAGGAUCCAAGCGUUAUCCGGAAUCAUUGGGUUUAAAGGGUCCGUAGGCGGUCUUGUAAGUCAGUGGUGAAAGCCCAUCGCUCAACGGUGGAACGGCCAUUGAUACUGCAGGACUUGAAUUAUUGGGAAGUAACUAGAAUAUGUAGUGUAGCGGUGAAAUGCUUAGAGAUUACAUGGAAUACCAAUUGCGAAGGCAGGUUACUACCAAUUGAUUGACGCUGAUGGACGAAAGCGUGGGUAGCGAACAGGAUUAGAUACCCCCGUAGCCCCUGUCUCUUAUAC